rnacentral:tRNA from 1 species
UAGAGAAUAAUGUAUUGAGGCUUCUAACUUCAUGUUGGGUAGGGAUAUCCCUUCCUCUAU